CUUAUCUCAUCGCCACUCCUCUCCUUCUUUUAUCCAGAUCGCCAAUUCCUCCGCACAUCCUAAUCCAGCGCUGGUCCUCUUCUUCUUCUCCAUCCAAUCUAGCCAAGAGCUGCACGUGCGCGGGGCCGUGGUGGCUGGCCAGCGCAGCACCCCCUAAUCGGCGAUGAACCAGAGACCGCCUAGGCUGGCACCUUGGAGCUCCUCUGCCUCGUCCUGAUCUGGCCGUUCGCCCCAGUCGUCGGCCCCGUGCUUCGGAUCAGGCCAGAAGCCUUGCCUACGACCUGAUUCAGACUGCGUAGCCUUCGCCACCUGCGCAAUGCCCCAGAGGUUCGGCCGAUCCCGCGUCGCUCAUUCUCGCUUCUUCCUUUUCUCGCGGCUCGCGUUGACUGCGAGAGGCCACAUGCCUCGUCCAACCACAUCCUCUCACUGCCUUGCUCCUCCACCACCACUUCUCUCCCUUCUUCCUCCCCUCCCUGCCAGCCAGGGCACUCUCCCUCUCCCACCUCCGUUCGCCGCAGGUGAGUGCGCGGCUACGGGUGUCUGGCCAGCAGCAACAGCUGCGGCAGUUCCGCGCCAGGAGAAGCCGCGCGCUGGGCGAUGCGGAGGACGACGACCUGCCGCUUCCUCAUUCGGGCGUCCUCCUCUGCGCCGUCGAGAGACGACCAUGGCCGCCCGAUGCCCGAGCACCGCCGGCCAAGGAUCCGCCGGCGUCCAGACCCCCUCAGGCCAUCCCCAUCUCGCCAGAGACCUACACCAAGUCCCAUCCAGCGCCCGCGCCACCCUUCGGGCCCCGCCCCGCAGCUCUGCAGCCCGAGCGCUUCGGCCGCCUCGCACCCGAAGCAGAGGAGAGGAGCUCCCUACCACGAGCCUCUCCAGCCCCGGCAAACCAGCAGGCCGACCCGGCCUCCUAGUCACUUCCCUCCUUCCUUUUUUUCCGGCGGUACGCAUCACCCCUUCCUUGGCUUCUGCGGGAAGCCGGCGGCAAGCUGCGGCCCGUGCCCGGCGGUGGAGAAGGCAAAUGGAUACGCAGUGGUGGUGCCCGGUGGUGAAGCAGUUUAAUUAAGUACUGUGGGUAGAAUUGUAACAAAUGCAGGGGUUUUUAUGUAAAAACGAAGCGUUUUCUCACGUAUCCACUUAAAAUAGGAUUGCGGAUUGAAUUCUCAAAAAUGAAGGGGCUUUUCUGCAAAAGUGCAGACGACG
rnacentral:rRNA from 1 species